UACGAAGGGGGCUAGCGUUGCUCGGAAUCACUGGGCGUAAAGGGUGCGUAGGCGGGGCUUUAAGUCAGGGGUGAAAUCCUGGAGCUCAACUCCAGAACUGCCUUUGAUACUGAGGAUCUUGAGUUCGGGAGAGGUGAGUGGAACUGCGAGUGUAGAGGUGAAAUUCGUAGAUAUUCGCAAGAACACCAGUGGCGAAGGCGGCUCACUGGCCCGAUACUGACGCUGAGACGCGAAAGCGUGGGGAGCAAACAGG
rnacentral:rRNA from 1 species